rnacentral:rRNA from 1 species
UUUUCCUACGGGAGGCAGCAGUGGGGAAUAUUGGGCAAUGGAGGAAACUCUUACCCAGCAAUGCCGCGUGAGUGAAGAAGGUCUUCGGAUUGUAAAGCUCUUUGAUUGGGGAUGAAUAAAUGACGGUACCCAAAGAACAAGCCCCGGCUAACUACGUGCCAGCAGCCGCGGUAAUACAUAGGGGGCGAGCGUUGUCCGGAAUGACUGGGCGUAAAGGGUGUGUAGGCGGUUUAUUAAGUUAGAAGUGAAAUACCUAGGGCUUAACCCAGGUGCUGCUUCUAAAACUGAUAGACUUGAGUGCAGUA